UGAGGAAUAUUGGGCAAUGCCCGCAAGGGUGACCCAGCAACGCCGCGUGGAGGAUGAAUGUCGUAAGAUUGUAAACUCCUGUUAGAGGGGAAGAAUAGUACCGGUUGGACCGGUAUAUGACUGUACCCUCAGAGAAAGCCCCGGCUAACUACGUGCCAGCAGCCGCGGUAAUACGUAGGGGGCAAGCGUUGUCCGGAUUUACUGGGUGUAAAGGGCGCGCAGGCGGGAUAAAAAGUCAGUGGUGAAAUCCUACAGCUUAACUGUAGAACUGCCUUUGAUACUUUUAUUCUUGAGUUCAGGAGAGAGAGACGGAAUUCCAGGUGUAGUGGUGAAAUACGUAGAUAUCUGGAAGAACACCAGUUGCGAAGGCGGUCUCUUGGUCCGACACUGACGCUGAGGCGCGAAAGCGUGGGGAGCAAACA
rnacentral:rRNA from 1 species